AGUUUUAAGAAUCUUAAAUAUGUAUAUCAACAUUUUUACUCACGUGCGUGAUAAAUGCAAAAGAUAUGUAAAAUUAAGGGGCAAUUGCUUAUAUACUUCUGAAAAAUUUUCAACUUUUCGAUUUAGUCUUCUUAGAAGGUUAAUAUUGAAAAUACCUUUUCUACGUUCCAACCUAUUUCUAAUAUACUCCUAGGGCGUGUUUGGUUCGCUUCUUUUUCACCAUAGAAUCGGAAUCGGAAUGGAUAAAUUCGUUUAUGGGUGUUUGGUACGCGGAAGUUCCAUUCCGAUUCCGAUUCUCGAGUGGAAUGAGAAUCCCCCAAUCACCUCUUUUUUCAAUCCGGCCUAGGAGGCCGGAUUGAAAGUUGAAUCCGGACGGAAUGAAUAUUUAUUCGGAUUAAAUUUAUUUUUUCAACUUUUUUAAUUAAAAUAUGAGUUAAAAUUUUAAAAUUAAAUAUAUAA
rnacentral:lncRNA from 1 species